CUUACCAGGCCAGCUGCCGACGUACAGGUCUCUAUGAUGGUAGAGCAUGACUUACCAGGCCAGCUGCUGACGCACAGGUCUCUAUGAUGGUAGAGCAUGACUUACCAGGCCAGCUGCUGACGUACAGGUCUCUAUGAUGGUAGAGCAUGACUUACCAGGCCAGCUGCUGACGUACAGGUCUCUAUGAUGGUAGAGCAUGACUUACCAGGCCAGCUGCUGACGUACAGGUCUCUAUGAUGGUAGAGCAUGACUUACCAGGCCAGCUGCUGACGUACAGGUCUCUAUGAUGGUAGAGCAUGACUUACCAGGCCAGCUGCUGACGUACAGGUCUCUAUGAUGGUAGAGCAUGACUUACCAGGCCAGCUGCUGACGUACAGGUCUCUAUGAUGGUAGAGCAUGACUUACCAGGCCAGCUGCUGACGUACAGGUCUCUAUGAUGGUAGAGCAUGACUUACCAGGCCAGCUGCUGACGUACAGGUCUCUAUGAUGGUAGAGCAUGACUUACCAGGCCAGCUGCUGACGUACAGGUCUCUAUGAUGGUAGAGCAUGACUUACCAGGCCAGCUGCUGACAUACAGGUCUCUAUGAUGGUAGAGCAUGACUUACCAGGCCAGCUGCUGACGCACAGGUCUCUAUGAUGGUAGAGCAUGACUUACCAGGCCAGCUGCUGACAUACAGGUCUCUAUGAUGGUAGAGCAUGACUUACCAGGCCAGCUGCUGACGCACAGGUCUCUAUGAUGGUAGAGCAUGACUUACCAGGCCAGCUGCUGACGCACAGGUCUCUAUGAUGGUAGAGCAUGAUGUACCAGAGGCUAGAAACAGGGUCACAUCCCCUUUGUACCCAGAGAAUUGCAUGUACCUGGUUAAUGGUGCCGUAGGUUAGUCACAUGUCUAAUAAAUAGCUUAGUGACGGGGCAGGUGCUAGCUAGUGGCUAAUGGUGCCGUAGGUUAGUCACAUGUCUAAUAAAUAGCUUAGUGACGGGGCAGGUGCUAGCUAGUGGCUAAUGGUGCCGUAGGUUAGUCACAUGUCUAAUAAAUAGCUUAGUGACGGGGCAGGUGCUAGCUAGUGGCUAAUGGUGCCGUAGGUUAGUCACAUGUCUAAUAAAUAGCUUAGUGACGGGGCAGGUGCUAGCUAGUGGCUAAUGGUGCCGUAGGUUAGUCACAUGUCUAAUAAAUAGCUUAGUGACGGGGCAGGUGCUAGCUAGUGGCUAAUGGUGCCAUAGGUUAGUCACAUGUCUAGUAAAUGGAUGGGGGGCUGCUUGGGAGGCGAGCAGCGAUACAAAACACAAUCAUAGUGCCUUGGCACUGAGCCCAAUAUGUCUCACUGCUCAGUGUGGGUACAGUGUGUAGUGUGGAGAUGAUCCAGGGACAGCACCUCUAACCCCCCUCCUCUCCCUCUCCGUACCCCAGCCCGAGGCUACCUACAGAGGCAGGACAGAAGCCCCACACUCCCCAGUCUGCUCCAUCACGUUGGGUGUAGUGGGUGUUCCCCCAAUACCCCACA